CGCUGGCGGCGUGCCUAAUACAUGCCAGUCGAGCGGAAUGAAGAAGAAGCUUGCUUCUUCUGAUUUUAGCGGCGGACGGGUGAGUAACACGUGGGCAACCUACCUUGUAGAUUGGGAUAACUCCGGGAAACCGGGGCUAAUACCGAAUAAUCCAUUUUGCUUCAUGGCGAGAUGUUAAAAGGCGGCUUCGGCUGUCACUACGAGAUGGGCCCGCGGCGCAUUAGCUAGUUGGUAGGGUAAUGGCCUACCAAGGCGACGAUGCGUAGCCGACCUGAGAGGGUGAUCGGCCACACUGGGACUGAGACACGGCCCAGACUCCUACGGGAGGCAGCAGUAGGGAAUCUUCCACAAUGGACGAAAGUCUGAUGGAGCAACGCCGCGUGAGUGAAGAAGGUUUUCGGAUCGUAAAACUCUGUUGUAAGGGAAGAACACGUACGAGAGUAACUGCUCGUACCUUGACGGUACCUUAUUAGAAAGCCACGGCUAACUACGUG
rnacentral:rRNA from 1 species